rnacentral:rRNA from 1 species
GACCUCAGUUCAGUUGAGAUUACCGGCUGAAUUUAAGCAUAUUACUAAGCCGAGGAAAAGAAACUAACAAGGAUUCCCCUAGUAGCAGCGAGCGAACAGGGAAGAGCCCAGCGCUGAAUCCCCCGGGCCUCGCUCGGCGGGAAAUGUAGCGUUUGGGAGGGCCCGUCAACACGGCGACUCGCUCACUGGUUCAAGUCCAACUUGAAUGGGGCCACACAGAGGGUGACAGGCCCGUAGAGCAGGAGCGGUUGUCGUGUGGGUCUCUCCUUAGAGUCGGUUUGCUUGAGAGUGCAGACUUAAGUGGGUGGUAAACUCCAUCUAAGGCUAAAUAUGACCACGAGACCGAUAGCACACAAGUACCGUGAGGGAAAGGUGAAAAGAACUUUGAAGAGAGAGUUCAAGAGUACGUGAAACUGAAGUGGUGUAAACGGACGAGUUCGAAAAGUCCGAAUGGUGAGAUUCAAGCUUACCGUGCCGGUGGCCCUCGGGUUCAGAUGGCGUCGUCAGCUCGGGCUUCGGUUCGGGUCAUACGGCGUCACUCGUCCUGGGGGUAUCUGUCUGGUGCGGUGGGCUGCACUUCUCGCCUAGUAGGACGUCGCGACCCGUUGGGAUGUUCCGUUCACUGGCCCCUGGUGGAGCCCGCGCCGGAGCGUGGCCUUGUGCCGCGUUGCUGUUUGCACGGACCCGGGGUGACCUGAUCGGCGCCCGACGGUAUCAAAGCUUGGGAAGAGGCCGCACAGAGGAUGCGUUCGAUGGCCGUUUCGGCCUACACUCGGACAGGCCUGCACCCGGUCAGCGGCGCUUCUGCUUUCGAUACUCGUCCGACCCGUCUUGAAACACGGACCA